UACGUAGGGUGCGAGCGUGUCCGGAAUUAUUGGGCGUAAAGAGCUUGUAGGCGGUCUGUCGCGUCUGCUGUGAAAAUCCGGGGCUCAACCCCGGACUUGCAGUGGGUACGGGCAGACUAGAGUGUGGUAGGGGAGACUGGAAUUCCUGGUGUAGCGGUGGAAUGCGCAGAUAUCAGGAGGAACACCGAUGGCGAAGGCAGAUCUCUGGGCCGUUACUGACGCUGAGGAGCGAAAGCGUGGGGAGCGAUCCGG
rnacentral:rRNA from 1 species